AUUUUUUUGUUGUUUUUUGGGGUACGAUUAAGUGUAGUAUCUGUUCUUAUAAAUUUUUCAUCUGAUAUGUCCCCUAUCCAGGGACCAUAUAUUAAAUGGAUUUUAGAGAAUGGGGGGUGAUUUCAAGCCUGCUUCCGUCGCCCUAUAUGUUUGUCCAGUAGGGCAGGUUUAGUGCACCCCAC